ACAAUGGCCGGUACAAAGAGAAGCGAGGCUGUGAAGCGGAGCAAAUCUCAAAAACCGGUCCCAGUUCGGAUUGUAGGCUGCAACUCGCCUACAUGAAGUCGGAGUUGCUAGUAAUCGCGGAUCAGAAUGCUGCGGUGAAUGCGUUCCCGGGUCUUGUACACACCGCCCGUCACACCAUGGAAGUUGGGGGUGCCCAAAGUCGGUUAGAAAUAAACUGCCUAAGGCAAAACCAAUGACUGGGGUGAAGUCGUAACAAGGUAAC
rnacentral:rRNA from 1 species